GCAGAAUAAUCAGCGAAAUAUCACUUAUAGAGGACAUUCAAGAUACCAAAAACCCGAAAAUCCUAUACUAUCACCCACUCUGAGUCUCCCACCUUCCAAUGGCAGAGGGUAAACUGACAUUUGCCACAUUGAAAGUAAGGUGACUCUAACAACCACAAAGAGAACUGGAGUUUAAGACACUGAGACUUGUGACUGUUGCCUGGAAAAUUAUAUACUCAAGAAGAUGGACACAGUUUAGCUUGAAGACAGCAGGAGGGGAGGGAAAAGGAAGGGUUGUAAUGGGAGUGGGCUUCACUUCCUUGGACAGCAAGGUGAGUGUGUUCAUUUCCCAUGGACAAGAUAUAGGCAUUCCAGUAUGCAUACUUGGAGGAACAAGGUGUUUCCAAUGUUAUUCCCAGAGACAGUCUGGUGGGAUUGAAAUCUAGAGAGGAGUUUCAAACAAUGGAGACAUGUCUACAACAGAAAUCUACAAAGAGAACCAUAAGGAAAACACUCCAAAAUAGAAACAACAUUUGGACUGAGAGCAUUAAAACAGUCAAGAGAAAUUCCAAAUCACCUCUGGUAUAUGUAACCUUCUGUGCUUCCUUAAUCUGUCUCAUUUUUUCUUUACUCUACCCAACCCCAGAAGAAAUAGAAGAGCCAAAUGGAGAGCAGGAAAAUACCAGAGGGAGUAAUGAAAAGAUCUGAGGAUGAGACCUUACUGCUGCAAUCUAAGGAAAAUUCAACAUAAGGAAUGCAUACCUUUGCAAGAAGAAAAGGAAAAAGAGAAAUAGUAAGAAAGACGGUGUAUUCCAACACUGUGUAGCAUGAGCGUCCUAGUCCAUGUUUGAGAAACACUCCAGUACAAGCUGCUAGGUGAAUGAGGAUGCUGAAGCUCUUCCUGUAGGAAAGGAUUUGAUCUCACAAACGAGACAAAGAAUGGGAACCUGUGUGGUGAACUUCUGAGAUCUGUGAUUUAGUCCAAGGACGGACCAAGUAUUUCUCUACUCUCUAGACAACAGAAUUUUGAUAAACUUCCAAACACUAACAAAGCUGGAGCCAGAAAGGCUCUCACAAAGAGGCAAUGGUGGAGAUAAAAGCAGACGUCAGCUUUAGCAAAGGCUCAUAUUGUCUGCGCCAGAAGUAACUGAGCAGGACCACCACUGUCUGUGUCUGCUUCUCCAGUUGAUGAAACCUAUGUACCCAGCCACCCU